rnacentral:rRNA from 1 species
CGCCGCGUGAGUGAUGAAGGUUUUCGGAUCGUAAAGCUCUGUUGUUAGGGAAGAACAAGUGCCGUUCAAAUAGGGCGGCACCUUGACGGUACCUAACCAGAAAGCCACGGCUAACUACGUGCCAGCAGCCGCGGUAAUACGUAGGUGGCAAGCGUUGUCCGGAAUUAUUGGGCGUAAAGGGCUCGCAGGCGGUUUCUUAAGUCUGAUGUGAAAGCCCCCGGCUCAACCGGGGAGGGUCAUUGGAAACUGGGGAACUUGAGUGCAGAAGAGGAGAGUGGAAUUCCACGUGUAGCGGUGAAAUGCGUAGAGAUGUGGAGGAACACCAGUGGCGAAGGCGACUCUCUGGUCUGUAACUGACGCUGAGGAGCGAAAGCGUGGGGAGCGAACAGGAUUAGAUACCCUGGUAGUCCACGCCGUAAACGAUGAGUGCUAAGUGUUAGGGGGUUUCCGCCCCUU